UACGUAGGUGGCGAGCGUUGUCCGGAAUUAUUGGGCGUAAAGGAUGCGUAGGUGGUAGUUUAAGUGGGAUGUGAAAUCCCUGGGCUUAACCCAGGAACUGCAUUCCAAACUGGACUACUAGAGUGCAGGAGAGGAAAGUGGAAUUCCUAGUGUAGCGGUGAAAUGCGUAGAGAUUAGGAGGAACACCAGUGGCGAAGGCGACUUUCUGGACUGUAACUGACACUGAGGCAUGAAAGCGUGGGGAGCAAAC
rnacentral:rRNA from 1 species